UACUAGAGAUAUUAACAUGGUAUUAGUUGCCUACCUUUUGGAGACCUGAUAUAUUGUGAUUUCAUGUCUACCACUGCUUCCGCCGACUCAACCACUGCUCCUCCUUGCUGCUCAAUGUUCACUAGCACUCAGUUGGUUCAGUCCUUUCCUUAUCACGAUACUGUUAAGCUAGAUGAAAAUAAUUUUGUGCAAUGGCAACAGCACAUACGUUUGAUUACAAAAGGAUAUAAUUUGACCCAUUUUUUAGAAGGCACAUUACCUGCUCCAUCAAGGUUCGUACAGUCACUGGAUGGAUUUUGGUGGCAAAUCCGGAAGCCUCGGCUUAUGUUUAACAGGAUAAGUUGCUUGCUUCUUGGCUUCUUUCUACUAUUAGCUCAUCUCUUUUGUCUAGUUUCAAAGAUGCGAAGUCGGCGUGUGACGUUUGGACCACCGCUACUCGUCUCUUUGCUGCUGUCUCCGGUGCGAAGCUCUCCCGAAUCCGUCAUGAUCUCCACUUGAUCAAGAAAGGUGCGAUGUCAAUCACGGAGUACAUCGCGAAGAUCUAGAACACAUGUGCCUUGAUAGAUGCAGCUGGAUCUCGGAUUUCAAAAACAGAGAAGGUAGAGAUCGUGUUUGCCGGGUUACCAUCGGAGUUUGACGCUGUACUCACUCUUGCGUCCUUUUCGUCCGAACCUCUGCCAUUGCAACGUUUGGUUGAUAUCUUGUUGGAGUUUGAGAGUAGGUAGAUUCGUGCGAUUCGGGAGGCACCGUUACAUACACAUCUGGUCGAGGCAACUCCGUCAACAAUGGUGGUCGAUUCCGCGCGUAGAGGCCGUUCGCUUGUUGGUUGUGGGAGAGGUUUUAGAUCUUGCAUUCCAUGCCAAAUAUGUGGUCAGUCUGGGCACUUGGCUCAACGGUGUUAUUACCAUUUCAACCGUGACUGUGGUGGUCCGGCGUCGGGGGCAAGGGUCUCAUCUUCGUCCAGUUUUGUCAAUCAAGGUUCUGGUGUGCUGUAUGCUGCUGUGCCCGCCCCGAUGUCAAUCUCCAGUGCUGGUCUCCCCUCGAUGGUGCCACAGUUGAAUUUUCCUAAUGGAUGGUGGGGUGGUUCUCUACCAGUUGCAGCUCUCUUAUUUUUGCAACAGACCAGGGUUUCUCAACAUUUUAUUUCACAUGAGGAUGGGGCUGGCUAUUCGUUUCGGCCAUCCGUUGGGCCUAGUGUAAUGUGUCAUCCGUUGAGCCUAGUCCUUUAAUUGGACUUUCUAAUCAAGCUGGGCCAUAUUCAGCAGGCACUAAUUUUGGGCACCAUUUCCACAAUAUUGGAUCGUCCACCACUUUAGCUCUCCAUGAGCCGAUUUCGAACUAUAUUCAAUUUGAGGGGUCUAUUGAUCAUGGUCUGGGUUUUCGGCCUAUAAGUGGCGAGGAGUUUGGGCCGAAUUAUGGGUCCCGCAUUCCAUGGAUGAGAAAACCACGUGCUUGUGUUUUUCCUACAUCGGCUCUGCCGUGUGUUGGGUUGCCCCAUGUUCCCAACUUUCACACAUCUAAUGUCUCAAAUUCCACUAGAUCUAAUAUUAGUUCAACUAAUUUUGGGUCUAAUUUUGAUGAUGAUUCAUAUAUUCCUAUGCUUGUAGGGAUGUCAUCUUGGUCUCCAAAUUUAGGGGCUACGCAUCACGUCUGUCCAGAGGCCUCUGCCUUAAA
rnacentral:lncRNA from 1 species